CGCUGGCGGCAGGCCUAACACAUGCAAGUCGAGCGGAUGAGAAGAGCUUGCUCUUCGAUUCAGCGGCGGACGGGUGAGUAAUGCCUAGGAAUCUGCCUGGUAGUGGGGGACAACGUUUCGAAAGGAACGCUAAUACCGCAUACGUCCUACGGGAGAAAGCAGGGGACCUUCGGGCCUUGCGCUAUCAGAUGAGCCUAGGUCGGAUUAGCUAGUUGGUGAGGUAAUGGCCCACCAAGGCGACGAUCCGUAACUGGUCUGAGAGGAUGAUCAGUCACACUGGAACUGAGACACGGUCCAGACUCCUACGGGAGGCAGCAGUGGGGAAUAUUGGACAAUGGGCGAAAGCCUGAUCCAGCCAUGCCGCGUGUGUGAAGAAGGUCUUCGGAUUGUAAAGCACUUU
rnacentral:rRNA from 1 species